AUUGAACGCUGGCGGCAUGCCUUACACAUGCAAGUCGAACGGCAGCACGGGAGCAAUCCUGGUGGCGAGUGGCGAACGGGUGAGUAAUAUAUCGGAACGUGCCCAGUCGUGGGGAUAACGUAGCGAAAGCUACGCUAAUACCGCAUACGAUCUAUGGAUGAAAGCGGGGGAUCGCAAGACCUCGCGCGAUUGGAGCGGCCGAUAUCAGAUUAGGUAGUUGGUGAGGUAAAGGCUCACCAAGCCGACGAUCUGUAGCUGGUCUGAGAGGACGACCAGCCACACUGGGACUGAGACACGGCCCAGACUCCUACGGAGGCAGCAGUGGGGAAUUUUGGACAAUGGGCGCAAGCCUGAUCCAGCAAUGCCGCGUGCAGGAUGAAGGCCUC
rnacentral:rRNA from 1 species